UGUCACAGAAAGUUCAGAUGGAAGCUACCUUCGAGUACAGCUGGAUGUGGCAGCUCAGGUGCCGUGACGAGGGCCCCUUUGCUGCCUGGGCUUCGAAGCAGGGUGUCGUUUUUCCUCAGGGCUUCCAGCAGCUCAUGUUCCUCGUUUGGAUUCAAUCUUCAGAUGAGAGCCCGGGGCUUCCAUCCAGUGGGGCCAGCUGAGCUUGCAUGAUCCCUGAUGACCGGAAGGGAUGGCGUCACUCGGGAACUCGGGGCUGAUGACUUGAAAUCAUGGGGUGAAGUGAGAGACGCCUCGCCGUCUUGACAGUGUGAGAGCCUGUUGCGGGGCACGAACUCCUCCCUGAGUGAACCUGUGUCCCCGCGCACCCGAGCCGCGUCAGGACAGGAUAUCAUCAGCUGGUUUUUCCCUAUUUUCCACCCAUAAAGAGAUGCCUGGCUCUUCCCUACUCAGUGUGGUGCUUGGGGACCGGCUGAUGGCCUUGCUGGGAGCCUGCUUCGGGAGCUUUAAGGAAAUAAUUGCCUUUAGGAUAGACAUCUGGAUGCUUUUAAAAAAUAGCAGCAUUUGGAAGAGCUGAGAGACAAAGUGCCGGGAAGCGGCCUUGAAGAUGUGUGUGCCCGACAUGCUGAAGC